rnacentral:sRNA from 1 species
CACCGCCCCAAGGGGGGAAGGUUGAGAACCUUCGGUAAAGGUUCGGGUCGAGCGUAAGCGAGACAACGUUGCCGCAGGCAACGGCCCGAAGGGUGAGCCGCCCUGCGGCGAAUAAUCCUUCCCCCACCACCA